GAUGAAGAACGCAGCGAAAUGCGAUAAGUAAUGUGAAUUGCAGAAUUCAGUGAAUCAUCGAAUCUUUGAACGCACAUUGCGCCCGCCAGUAUUCUGGCGGGCAUGCCUGUCUGAGCGUCAUUUCAACCCUCAUGCCCCUAGGGCGUGGUGUUGGGGAUCGGCCAAAGCCCGCGAGGGACGGCCGGCCCCUAAAUCUAGUGGCGGACCCGUCGUGGCCUCCUCUGCGAAGUAGUGAUAUUCCGCAUCGGAGAGCGAUGAGCCCCUGCCGUUAAACCCCCAACUUUCCAAGGUUGACCACAGAUCAGGUAGGAAUACCCGCUGAACUUAAGCAUAUCAAUAAGCGGAGGA
rnacentral:misc_RNA from 1 species